GAUGAACGCUGGCGGCGUGCCUAAUACAUGCAAGUCGAGCGAAUGGAUUAAGAGCUUGCUCUUAUGAAGUUAGCGGCGGACGGGUGAGUAACACGUGGGUAACCUGCCCAUAAGACUGGGAUAACUCCGGGAAACCGGGGCUAAUACCGGAUAACAUUUUGAACCGCAUGGUUCGAAAUUGAAAGGCGGCUUCGGCUGUCACUUAUGGAUGGACCCGCGUCGCAUUAGCUAGUUGGUGAGGUAACGGCUCACCAAGGAAACGAUGCGUAGCCGACCUGAGAGGGUGAUCGGCCACACUGGGACUGAGACACGGCCCAGACUCCUACGGGAGGCAGCAGUAGGGAAUCUUCCGCAAUGGACGAGAGUCUGACGGAGCAACGCCGCGUGAGUGAUGAAGGCUUUCGGGUCGUAAAACUCUGUUGUUAGGGAAGAACAAGUGCUAGUUGAAUAAGCUGACACCUUGACGGUACCUAACCAGAAAGCCACGGCUAACUACGUGCCAGCCGCCGCCGUAA
rnacentral:rRNA from 1 species